rnacentral:rRNA from 1 species
UACGGGGGGAGCGAGCGUUGUUCGGAAUCACUGGGCGUAAAGGGCGCGUAGGCGGCUGAAUAAGUCAGAGGUGAAAUCCCAGGGCUUAACCUUGGAAUUGCCUUUGAUACUGCUCGGCUAGAGGACGGAAGAGGAUAGUGGAAUUCCUGGUGUAGCGGUGAAAUGCGUAGAUAUCAGGAAGAACACCGGUGGCGAAGGCGGCUAUCUGGUCCGUUACUGACGCUGAGGCGCGAAAGCCAGGGGAGCAAAUGGG